AGCAGUCGCCGCGGUAAUACGAAGGGUGCAAGCGUUAAUCGGAAUUACUGGGCGUAAAGCGCACGCAGGCGGUCUGUCAAGUCAGAUGUGAAAUCCCCGGGCUUAACCUGGGAACUGCAUUUGAUACUGGCAGGCUAGAGUCUUGUAGAGGGGGGUAGAAUUCCAGGUGUAGCGGUGAAAUGCGUAGAGAUCUGGAGGAAUACCGGUGGCGAAGGCGGCCCCCUGGACAAAGACUGACGCUCAGGUGCGAAAGCGUGGGGAGCAAACAGGAUUAGAUACCCCGGUAGUCCCUGUCUCUUAUAC
rnacentral:rRNA from 1 species